rnacentral:tRNA from 1 species
GCCCCCGUAGUUCAACCGGAUAGAACAUCGGCCUCCGAAGCCGAAGAUUGGCAGUUCGAAUCUGCCCGGGGGUA